rnacentral:lncRNA from 1 species
GUUUGUUCUGUUCUGUUUUUCAGAUCAAUGUUAAUGACAGCCUGUGACCUUGGAGCCGUGACCAAACCGUGGGAGAUCUCCAGACAGGCAAGUGGUGAUUAAUGGCAGAGCUCAGCAGAGGAGGGACGGAAGGGUCUUUGAGAGGCACUGGUCUGGCACGGAGCCACAGCCGGCUCAGUCGGAAGGCAGCUCACCCCACAGUCUUUCUCUCCAGGGUCCCCCCUCAACAGUGCUAUUUCUGGCUGCAAGAUUUUGCUAAUGUGCUAAAUCUGAACAGCUCUUUGACCAUUCCGUAAGCCAAACAGUUCGCAAUACUGUUUUUGAAUACAUAACAGUGUUUUAGCACAAGAUUCUAUUUAUCACUUACAAAAAAAAGAAAAUGGAAAAGAGAAAUUCUGUUUUUGUUUCAGGUACCAUUUAAGUGUCAGAGAGGGCUCUAUGGCCAACGCGUGCAGUGUCCCAUUUAACUUUUAUCAGGACCUAUAGUAAUCUUAUAACCAUAAGCACCCGAGCAUCCUCUUCAAGCAACAGUAGUUUUAAAUUAAGCAGCUCCCUAACUCAAGUUCCUUGAUGAUUAAGAGGAGUUAAUAAUAGCUCCUUAGGUUUUGUCACCCUCUUUGACUUAAUUUUAUUUUAUUUUCUUGAGCCAGGGUGACUUGAUAGCCUCUAGGUCGCUCUCAAACAUUGGCUCAAGUGUUGCUCCUGCCUCAGCCUCCUGAGGUGGAACUAGCUAGCAGCAACCUCACCGAAUUUUGUGAGACAUCUAUUAUGUAGACUGUAGGCUCUAAAACAGUACCUUGAGAAAUGACGUUUUGGAGGAAUUAUUUAAUCUUUUAAAAAAAAACUUUAUGGUAGGUAUACAAUAUGCUGGAUAAUCACCACACAAACAUAUCAAGUCAAAAUCCCAGAAGCCUAUAACUAUUACCUGAGAAGAAAAGGACAGUUUUCUACUUGCAAGAGUGGAUGUUGUAAGUGGUUAUGGAUCUAGGGUGAGUUUGCAGUUUGUAGUAAGGAUUUGCUGAGGAAGAACAGCCUGAUGAUCCAGAGGAGUCCCAGCUACUAUCACAAAUGUCCUUGUAAGAGAGCAGAGAGCUCGGAACACAGAGGAGCAGGCAGUGCGAGAGUCAGACAGAGACUGUCUGGUGAUGUCUACAGGGAGUGCCAGCAGCUCCCAAACACCAGAAAGAGGCAAAAACAGGAGGAGCCUUCAAAAACAGGAGGCGCACACCGCCAACCCCGGGACUUCUGUCCAUCACCUUGAUCUUAACUGCUGUUCCAAGAUCUCUGCAAAAAUAACCCUCUGUUAUCCCAGCCAGAGUUUCGAGUGAGGUUUUGGAGUUUUAGGGAAUUAAUUUGGUCAUUACAUUCACUUCACAUACAGGAAGGACGGGGCUUUGAAUAAGUAGCCUGAGGUCUUCCUUAGAUGGUAGCUGGUGGAUUAAAAAUAGUCUCGCAUUUCUCAGCUUUCUGGAGGAUUGCUGCCAUAGAGUAACUACUCAGACCAGGGGGCUGAGUGUAACUCAUGAUUCCUCGAGUUACAAAAAGAAUGAACGAAGAAGACCUUCAGGAAACACCAGCAGAAUAGAAAGAAAAAGAAGAAGAAGAAGAAGAAGAAGAAGAAGAAGAAGAAGAAG